CCUACGGGAGGCAGCAGUGAGGAAUAUUGGUCAAUGGACGAGAGUCUGAACCAGCCAAGUAGCGUGAAGGAUGACUGCCCUAUGGGUUGUAAACUUCUUUUAUAAAGGAAUAAAACACGGCACGUGUGCCUUUUUGCAUGUACUUUAUGAAUAAGGAUCGGCUAACUCCGUGCCAGCAGCCGCGGUAAUACGGAGGAUCCGAGCGUUAUCCGGAUUUAUUGGGUUUAAAGGGAGCGUAGAUGGGUAGUUAAGUCAGUUGUGAAAGUUUGCGGCUCAACCGUAAAAUUGCAAUUGAUACUGGCAGUCUUGAGUACAGUUGAGGUAGGCGGAAUUCGUGGUGUAGCGGUGAAAUGCGUAGAUAUCACGAAGAACCCCGAUUGCGAAGGCAGCUUACUAGACUGUGACUGACAUUGAUGCUCGAAAGUGUGGGGAUCAAACAGGAUUAGAUACCCGGGUAGUC
rnacentral:rRNA from 1 species